CCUUGCGGCCGUAGCGCGGUGGUCCCACCUGACCCCAUGCCGAACUCAGAAGUGAAACGCCGUAGCGCCGAUGGUAGUGUGGGGUCUCCCCAUGCGAGAGUAGGGAACUGCCAGGC
rnacentral:rRNA from 1 species